rnacentral:rRNA from 1 species
UGAGGAAUAUUCCGCAAUGGGGGCAACCCUGACGGAGCAACGCCGCGUGCAGGAUGAAGGUCUACGGAUCGUAAACUUGCUUUUACCAGGGACGACAACGGACGGUACCUGGGGAAUAAGUCCCGGCUAACUACGUGCCAGCAGCCGCGGUAAUACGUAGGGGGCGAGCGUUAUCCGGAAUUAUUGGGCGUAAAGGGUGUGCAGGCGGUUUGCCAAGUUCGUAGCGACAGCCAUCGGCUUAACUGAUGGAGGAUUACGAAAACUGGCAGACUUGAGAGCGAGAGAGGGACAUGGAACUCCGGGUGGAGCAGUGACAUGCGUAGAGAUCCGGAAGAACACCAACGGCGAAGGCAGUGUCCUAGCUCGUUACUGACGCUCAAGCACGAAAGCUAGGGGAGCGAACAGGAUUAGAUACCCCCGUAGUCC